UACAGAGGGGGCAAGCGUUAUUCGGAAUUAUUGGGCGUAAAGAGCUCGUAGGCGGCCUGUCGCGUCGGAUGUGAAAGCCCGGGGCUUAACCCCGGGUCUGCAUUCGAUACGGGCAGGCUAGAGUGUGGUAGGGGAGAUCGGAAUUCCUGGUGUAGCGGUGAAAUGCGCAGAUAUCAGGAGGAACACCGGUGGCGAAGGCGGAUCUCUGGGCCAUUACUGACGCUGAGGCACGAAAGCGUGGGGAGCAAACAGG
rnacentral:rRNA from 1 species